rnacentral:lncRNA from 1 species
CUUGAUUGAAAGUGACACUAUAUGUCUCUUAUAUGUAUUCCUUAUAGAGAUUUUUUUUUUAUGUCGCAGCACACAAUGAUCUCAUGCAUGGAGGCUGCAGCAUCUUGGAGAAAAUGUCUCGCUGAAGUGCCCUCCACAGGUAUCUACUGGAUUUCACUCCAGUGAGGAUGCCCUGACACUGACACCCGCUGCCCAGGUGCAUGCACAGGAGAAAAAUACAAAUGCAGAUGGGGAGGACAGGUGGAAGAGGAGCUCAUAAUAUGACAGACAGUACAGACUCAUCUUACAACUGUUUCAGACACACUCAGAGGAGUGAAGUCAAGCUGAAACAUACAGUGAUGGAUCUGAAAGACAGAUGGUGAGUGGAAGGAGAGUGAACCCACCCAAAACAUGUUACCUGCACAUCUUCACUUGAUAUUGAUCUGUAUGUUAUAUAUCAAAUUGAGAAAAAUGUCAAAAUGUAGACAUACACAUGAGGUAAACACUUGUAUCAACUAAUCAAUCAAAUACAAUAGCCCUGAAAUAAUACUGUUUGUUAAAGUCUGUUAUGUUGAUUUAUUUGUUGAAAUGAGACUUAUGGAAUUGGUAGUUUGUUAAUGUAUGAGCCUGUACUUAGUGGUGCUAUUGACUUCAUUAUAUUAUAAACUUUCUUUGUCACAGAGGUGAAUGUUACCCUGGCACAGUCACACUCAAUUAUACCCUGAAACCCUGAAGUCUUGAAACCAAAAGGCAGUCACUGUCACAAAAAAGAAGUUCAAAAAGAAGAUAAACAAAGAUAAAAAUUUUAAUAUAAUCAAAUCAACUUUUGGCACAUUUCACCAGGUGUACUGAAUCCAAAGAGAAAGAGCUAUAUUUCCAACUGGUAUAUCAUACUACAUAGCUUUUGUUAUUUGAGUUUAAUUAUCCGGACCUUCUUACAUACACAAUGGUUUAUAUUAUUUUGGGUGAUGUAAUGGCAUCUUUUUCAAAAUCUGCUUAUAAAAAACAAAAAUGCCUAACUUUACAUAACCAUCCAGUUUUAUAAAUUAUGUAUUUGCUCCUCACUUGAGAAAAUUACCAUUUUUGGAAGUGUAGUGUAAUGGCAAUGGUAUUAUUUCCCAAUUAUAUAAUCCCAUUUAUACUAUAGUCAGAUAGUUAAUUUGCCCGCUUUUCUCCUGUGACAUAGUUCUCACUGCAGCUGUAAAUGUCCCAGUUUAGUUUUGUUUUCCCCCACAUGUGACUCAUAUCUGAGUUACAACACACAGUGUGAAUAGCAAAAAGCUACAUGGAGUUACAUUUUUAUAUCUGGAUCUGGACUUUAUGGAUAAUUGGUUCAAAAUGGCUCUUAAGACUGAAAACCUACACAUGAUUUUCCUUUAAUCACUCAAAUUACAUUUAGAACUUAUUGCAUAAAAUUCAUUGAAAGUAAAUCAUCGACCUGACACAGCUGUUGCAAAUCGGCGCUUUAGUAAGCUUGGCUAAGACGCUGCAGACACUACUAUCUAACACUAAGCAAAACAAUAGGAAGUAUGUAGAGGUGUUCACAGGUCCACAGGGUGCCAAGACUCAACUUGGGACACUAGUCGAGCCAAGUCAAAAUGACCUCACCUAAUUGGUUCCAAGUCGUGUCUCAUUUCUUUUUUUUUUUUUUUCUUGAUAUAUUUUUUAUGGGCUUUUUUCCUUUUGUUGGAUAGUACAUUUGAAGAUAGACAGGAAAGGUGGAGAAAGAAGGUAUGACACGCAGCAAAGAGCCACAAAUUGGAUUAGAACCAAUAGCCACUGCAG